UACGAAGGGGGCUAGCGUUGUUCGGAAUUACUGGGCGUAAAGCGCACGUAGGCGGAUCGCUCAGUCAGGGGUGAAAUCCCAGGGCUCAACCCUGGAACUGCCUUUGAUACUGUCGAUCUGGAGUAUGGAAGAGGUGAGUGGAAUUCCGAGUGUAGAGGUGAAAUUCGUAGAUAUUCGGAGGAACACCAGUGGCGAAGGCGGCUCACUGGUCCAUUACUGACGCUGAGGUGCGAAAGCGUGGGGAGCAAACAGG
rnacentral:rRNA from 1 species